AAAAACCAAACGAAGAUUUACUAUAUGAAACACGUUCCUAAGCUCCUAAAUAUCACGAAGACUUAAAACAUAAAAGACAAUCAAGCAAAGUAAAGUAAAUGAAUAGUGAAAGAAAAUGAAAACGGCCCUAUGUGAAAGUGCAAGUGACACUUGGAGCCCCUUGACACACUUUCACACUAAAAGGUGGAAACUAAACUAUUACAAUGUUGAAUGGUACACUUGNN
rnacentral:lncRNA from 1 species